CUGAACGAGGUUAGAUGGUAGGA
rnacentral:siRNA from 1 species